GUUGAUCCUGCCGGAGGUCACUGCUAUCGGGGUUCGAUUAAGCCAUGCGAGUCGAGAGGGUUCAGACCCUCGGCGGACUGCUCAGUAACACGUGGAUAAUCUGCCCUAUGGUGGAGGAUAACCCCGGGAAACUGGGGAUAAUACUCCAUAAGUCAGGAGUACUGGAAUGUCUCCUAACUGAAAGUUGCGGCGCCAUAGGAUGAAUCUGCGGCCGAUUAGGUAGUUGUUGGGGUAACGGCCCAACAAGCCCGUAAUCGGUACGGGUUGUGGGAGCAAGAGCCCGGAGAUGGAAUCUGAGACACGAUUCCAGGCCCUACGGGGCGCAGCAGGCGCGAAAACUUUACAACGCAGGAAACUGUGAUAAGGGAACCCCGAGUGCCCGUACACGCGGGCUGUCCCGGUGUUUAAAACACAUCGGAAGAAAGGGCCGGGCAAGACCGGUGCCAGCCGCCGCGGUAAUACCGGCGGCUCGAGUGGUGACCACUUUUAUUGGGCUUAAAGCGUUCGUAGCUUGAUUUUUAAGUCUCUUGGGAAAUCUCACGGCUUAACUGUGAGGCGUCUAAGAGAUACUGGGAAUCUAGGGACCGGGAGAGGUAAGAGGUACUUCAGGGGUAGAAGUGAAAUUCUGUAAUCCUUGAGGGACCACCGAUGGCGAAGGCAUCUUACCAGAACGGCUUCGACAGUGAGGAACGAAAAGCUGGGGGAGCGAACGGGAUUAGAUACCCCGGUAGUCCCAGCCGUAAACUAUGCGCGUUAGGUGUGCCUGUAACUACGAGUUACCGGGGUGCCGAAGUGAAAACGUGAAACGUGCCGCCUGGGAAGUACGGUCGCAAGGCUGAAACUUAAAGGAAUUGGCGGGGGAGCACCACAACGGGUGGAGCCUGCGGUUUAAUUGGACUCAACGCCGGGCAGCUCACCGGAUAGGACAGCGGAAUGAUAGCCGGGCUGAAGACCUUGCUUGACCAGCUGAGAGGAGGUGCAUGGCCGUCGUCAGUUCGUACUGUGAAGCAUCCUGUUUAGUCAGGCAACGAGCGAGACCCUC
rnacentral:rRNA from 1 species